UUUUGGAGGUCAAUCUGGAAGCGAGAAAGUUUAUUAAAUKGWGUUGAAUAAAAAGCUUGUAGAUUUACCAAGGUCUGACUGGUCGGUCCGUUUCRGGGRGGGCWCUGGKCCGUCCUGGCCUUUCAAUGGUCGGAAUCCCAGAGGGUGGGGAAUCAGUGGCGGGGAAACAGUACUUUGAGUUUGAAAGAAUUAGAAAGCUCGGGGCAGCUCUAUUCSGAAAACAUUGCAAUGGAAAAAGAAAUUAGGCUGUGUUCUUGUUUUUUGUUUUUUCUAGGACGAAGGAAAUGAUGAAUAGGGACGGUGGGGGGCAUCAGUUUUCAUUGUCCAAGGGGAAAAUUCUGGGAUUUUUGARGACUAACUACUGGGAAACCAUUUCCCAAGAUGUUUUCAUUAAUAAGGAAGAAAAUUUAGGGGAUGGAAGAGAUUCAGAWACCKUGGAGUUUUUAACCAAAACUAUCSGCUAGGGAUCGGAGGAUKUKAAAUGAUGAUCGUUGGGCACCURUGAGUAUCAAAAKKUUUGGCUUCAGGGGGAGUAUGGUSGCAAGGCUGAAACUAAAGAAAUGASGAARGGACCACCAGUAAUUA
rnacentral:rRNA from 1 species